rfam:Picea glauca, whole genome shotgun sequence.
AUAUCUUAGAAAUGGAUAUAUUUGGAUCUUGUUAAGAUGAAGAACAUAGUGAAAUGUGAUACUUGGUUCAAAUAGAAGAAUCCCAAGAAACUUUGAGUUUUCGAAUGCAAUUUGCACAUUAGGCCUUGACCAAGGGAACAUUUGUUUGGGUGUUA